AUGCUGGCCUCAGGGCUGCUUCCUGCGGCUUUGCUGGCCUGUCUGACUAUACUGGUCUUGAUGUCUGUCUGGCGGUAGAGGAAGCUCGAGGGGACGCUGCCUCCUGGACCCACCCCUUUGCCCUUCGUCGGGAACCACCUGCAGCCGAACACCAAGCAGAUGUACAACUCCUUCAUGAAGCUCGAGCGCUAUGGCCCUGUGUCCACAGACCACCUGGGGCCCUGGCGGGUCGUGGUGCUGUGUGGAUAUGACACUGACAGAGGCUCUGGUGGACCAGGCUGAGGAAUUCAGUGGAUGAGGCAAGCAGGCUAACUUCAACUGGCUCUUCAAAGGCUAUGGGGUGGCGUUCGGCAGCUGGGAGCGCGCCCAGCACCUCCGGCGCUUCUCCAUCACCGCACUGCGAGACUUGGGCGUGGGCAAGCGCGGCAUCGAGGAGCGCAUCCAGGGGGAGGUGGACUUCCUCAUCGAGGCCUGCCGGGGCACGCACGGCGCCUUCCUCGAUCCCACCUUCUUCCUGAGCCGAACCGUCUCCAGUGUCAUCAACUCCAUCGUCUUCGGGGGCCGCUUUGACUGUGAGAACAAAGAGCUCCUAUCACUGCUGUGUAUGAUGCCGGGAAGCUUCCAGUUCACAGCUACGUCUACCGGCCAGCUCUGUGAGAUGUCCUACUCAGUGACGAAAUACCUGCCAGGGCCCACACUGAACCAACCAAGUGCCCACUGCCUGCUCCUCCAGACCAUCCCCCAAGACUCUCCCCUUGCACCUCCCAGGUGACUUUGGCAGGACCAGGUGAGCAAGACCCUGCACCAACAGCGCCUACGGCCUGAAUGUUUUAUGUCCAUGCCACACGUGGAUGUCAUGCGUGUUGUACCUACUUGGACGGUCAUCCCUGCCCUGAGUCCUCACAAUAGCUAAACACGUUCCCCCUCCUCCCCAAGCCAAAACCCAUGAGGAGAUUGACCACGUGAUUGGCAAGAACCAUCAGCCCAAGUUCAAGGAUGGAGCCAAGAUGCCCUACACAGAGGCGGUGAUCCACGAGAUCCAGAGAUUCUGAGACAUGAUCCCCAUGGGCCCGGCCCGCAGAAUCACCAAGGAUACCGAGUUUCGAGACUUCCUCCUCUCCAAGGGCACCGAAGUCUUCCCUAUGCUGGGCUGCAUGCUGAGAGACCCCAAGUUCUUCUCCAACCCGCGAAAUUUCAAUCCCCAGCACCUCCUGGAUGAGAAGGGGCAGUUUAAUGCUUUUGUGCCCUUCUCCAUCGGAAAGCGGUACUGUUUUGGAGAAGGCCUGGCUAGAAUGGAGCUCUUUCUCUUCCUCACCACCAUCAUGCAGAACUUCCGCUUCAAGUCCCCACAGUCGCCCCAGGACAUCGACGUGUCCCCCAAACACGUGGGCUUUGUCACCAUCCCACAAAACUACACCAUGAGCUUCCUGGCCCGGUGAGCCAGGGCUGUGCCAGGGUGGGGCUGGUGGGAGGAGCAAAUGGGG